CGGUGAAAUUCCAAUCGAGCCCGGAGAUAGCUGGUUCUCCCCGAAAUAGCUUUAGGGCUAGCCUCAAGGUGAGAGAUACGGAGGUAGAGCACUGAAUGUCCUAGGGGGGAUUGCACCUACCGAAGACUAUCAAACUCCGAAUGCCGUCAUCUUAUACUUGGGAGUCAGACUGUGGGUGAUAAGAUUCAUAGUCGAAAGGGCAACAGCCCAGAUCGUCAGCUAAGGUCCCUAAAUGUAAGUUAAGUGGUAAAGGAUGUGGGAUUGCACAGACAACCAGGAUGUUGGCUUAGAAGCAGCCACUCAUUCAAAGAGUGCGUAAUAGCUCACUGGUCGAGUGAUCCUGCGCCGAAGAUUUCCGGGGCUAAAACUUACUACCGAAGCUACGGCAUCAGUAAUGAUGGGUAGGGGAGCUUCCCAUACGGGUUGAAGCAUGACCGUAAGGACAUGUGGACAGUAUGGGAGUGAGAAUGUUGGCAUGAGUAGCGAGAUGGGGGUGAGAAUCCCACAGGCCGUAAACCCAAGGUUUCCAGGGGAAGGUUCGUCCGCCCUGGGUUAGUCGGGACCUAAGCUGAGGCCGAAAGGCGUAGGUGAUG
rnacentral:rRNA from 1 species